GUCACAUCAUAUAUACCUUCUCACCAGGAACAGAUGAAUAAGAACAUUACCAUUUCUAAUAGCUGUUCUGAGCUUACACAUUUGUCUAAUACGGCCUGUGUUUGAGGGUAGUGGGAUUUGAAAAUGACCUUAUAUAAACAGACUGAGUUAUUUUUUAGAGAAAUACAUCACAGGAAGAGUGCAUGAUUAGGAAGCACGAGACCCAAGCCCGAUUACAGAAUCACAAGAAAGAAGAGUAGAGAACAAUGUGGUACAAUAGAAAGAGCACAACGUGAGAUUUAGGCCACCUAUUUUACCAUGACAAAGUUAAUUAAUGUUUCUGUACCUAGGUUUCCUAAUUUACAAAACUUGGUAAAUUAUACUAUACAGUGACUACGUAAGAAUUGCCAAGGAGAUUCUUGAAAACACAGAUUCCCACUUUCUACUUAAAGAUUCUCAUUUAGAAGGUCUGAGGUUGGAGUAAGAAUCUCUGUAUUUUAACCAGUUGCCCAGGUGACUCUAUUGCAUACUAUAUUGGAAAAGAGAUUGUAUGCUGACUACUCAUUGAUUCUAAAAUUCUAUGCUUCUAUGGACUUUUGGUUUUACCCUUAUUUUUUUCUUUUUAGGAUCCCCAUCACAAGGAGGGGAGGGCUACCAUCCCAGCUGCAAACUCUCAUUCAAGGUUUAUGUUGCAGCCAGCAGUGUCCUUGGAGUCUAGUUCAAAGCUGAAGAGAGUGAACCAUAGAACUGGGAGCCAUUGGCAGAGGGGCUGGCCUGAAGGAAGGGAAGUGUUUCAGCCAGAAUGUACUGACGCACGACCAGGAAACCACAAGACUGAGUGACUACCAGUUGCCAUGAAAUAAAUCACAUCAUCAUAUGGCAGAUCCAGCUAAUAGCUGAGACUAGCAGGAUAAGUGAACCAUGUCCUCAGAGCUAAAUGAUGGAGAAAUUGGACUGGCCAUGGGGCACUUCAAAUUGAUUGCUUAGUAAUGGGAUAUUUUUUCUGGAAAGACAACAGAAUAAUUCUGAAUUGUUAGUUCCGUCAUGGGUACAGGCUCCCAUGUACAGGAAAAUAAAGAAAGUGUGAUGAAUUUUUCAUCUGGCCUUCUGCCUACUUUCUUGCUUUCUGCAUGUCUCCAUUUUUAGUCUGUAAGCCCUGCCUAGAUGACCAAUCACUAUUGUCCAUGUGGCAUAAAACCUACAAUUUAAAUAUACUUCUUACCCAACUCUCAGCAAGUAUGAGGUAGCCAACACCUUUUUCAAGAUAAUGACUGAGUCUUAGCUUAGGUUUCAGUCAUUUUAGGAAACAUAAAAAAUUCAAUGGUGGGAGAUCAUACACCCUCUGCAAAGAUGUCAGAGGUCAAGUUUUGGGAGAGUCCACACACAAACUGAGCAGUGAUGGUAAAAUGUAUUUUGAAAUAUUUCUCCUCUGGGACUGUUAUGUGAAGUAGAGCAAACACAUUGUGCUGCAGUGCUUUUUGGGACAUGCCUUUUUUGGGAAGUGCUAACUUUAUACUCUGCUGACACCAAACAUUUGAAUAUAAAACCUUAUUUUUUUCUCUCACUCUGCUCCACUUUUGGCUCAGCUUAUCCUACCAAAACACACUUCAAAAGACUUCUUUAUAGAAAGAAUGUUUCAAAAAUAUAAUAUUUCCAUCUGUUAUUUCAAUAAUACAUGCUCUGGGACUCUCUUUAUGAACCAUUUUCCUUUCUUUGCUCCCAUUUAGAUGUAUAAAUAUUUGAUUCUAAAGCUCUAAGGAAUAGUCAGCCAAUCGGGUCACUGAAUUGUGAACAUUCCUAACCCUAUAAUUUUGUCUGUAGCAGGCACCUCCUGCUGUGGAACUAACUGCUAAGGGAUUAUAGCAAUGUAAUCCUCAGACUGUUCCAUCUCAAGGUUACUCUGAAGUGGAGGGAAGGAAGCCGUUUUAAUUUUGAUAAAAUAAACUUUAUUUUGUAACUUUA